AGGGAGUUUGAUCCUGGCUCAGGAUGAACGCUGGCGGCGUGCUUAACACAUGCAAGUCGAACGGAGUUUAGAUGAAACCUAGUGAUUCUAAACUUAGUGGCGGACGGGUGAGUAACGCGUGGGCAACCUGCCUCAUACUGGGGGAUAGCAGUUGGAAACGACUGAUAAUACCGCAUAAGCGCACAGCAUCGCAUGAUGCAGUGUGAAAAACUCCGGUGGUAUGAGAUGGGCCCGCGUCAGAUUAGCUAGUUGGUAAGGUAACGGCUUACCAAGGCGACGAUCUGUAGCCGGACUGAGAGGUCGGACGGCCACAUUGGGACUGAGACACGGCCCAAACUCCUACGGGAGGCAGCAGUGGGGGAUAUUGCACAAUGGAGGAAACUCUGAUGCAGCGACGCCGCGUGAGUGAAGAAGUAUUUCGGUAUGUAAAGCUCUAUCAGCAGGGAAGAAAGGCCCGCAAGGGAGAUGACGGUACCUGACUAAGAAGCCCCGGCUAACUACGUGCCAGCAGCCGCGGUAAUACGUAGGGGGCAAGCGUUAUCCGGAUUUACUGGGUGUAAAGGGAGCGCAGACGGUUAUGCAAGUCUGAAGUGAAACCCCACGGCUCAACCGUGGGCUUGCUUUGGAAACUGUAUAACUAGAGUACUGGAGAGGUAAGCGGAAUUCCUAGUGUAGCGGUGAAAUGCGUAGAUAUUAGGAGGAACAUCGGUGGCGAAGGCGGCUUACUGGACAGCAACUGACGUUGAGGCUCGAAGGCGUGGGGAGCAAACAGGAUUAGAUACCCUGGUAGUCCCCU
rnacentral:rRNA from 1 species